rnacentral:rRNA from 1 species
GACGAACGCUGGCGGCGUGCUUAACACAUGUAAGUCGAACGGAAAGGCUCCAGCUUGCUGGAGUACUCGAGUGGCGAACGGGUGAGUAACACGUGGGUAAUCUGCCCUGCACUCUGGGAUAAGCCUGGGAAACUGGGUCUAAUACUGGAUAUGACCUUUCUCCUUAUGGGGUUUGGUGGAAAGUUUUUCGGUGUAGGAUGAGCCCGCGGCCUAUCAGCUUGUUGGUGGGGUGAUGGCCUACCAAGGCGACGACGGGUAGCCGGCCUGAGAGGGUGAUCGGCCACAUUGGGACUGAGAUACGGCCCAGACUCCUACGGGAGGCAGCAGUGGGGAAUAUUGCACAAUGGGCGGAAGCCUGAUGCAGCGACGCCGCGUGAGGGAUGACGGCCUUCGGGUUGUAAACCUCUUUCAGCAGGGACGAAGCGUAAGUGACGGUACCUGCAGAAGAAGCACCGGCUAACUAUGUG